ACUCUGCUAAUAGUGAAUACUGUAUACAGUAUACUCUGCUAAUAGUGAAUACUGUAUAAACCACUCUGCUAAUAGUGAAUACUGUAUACACCACUUUGUUAGUGAAUACUGUAUACAGUACACUCUGCUAAUAGUGAAUACUGUAUACAGUAUACUCUGUUAAUAGUGAAUACUGUAUACACCACUCGGUUAGUGAAUACUGUUUACACCACUCUGUUAGUGAAUACUGUAUACACCACUCUGUUAGUGAAUACUGUAUACACCACUCUGUUAGUGAAUACUGUAUACACCACUCUGUUAGUGAAUACUGUAUACACCACUCUGUUAGUGAAUACUGUAUACACCACUCUGUUAGUGAAUACUGUUUACACCACUCUGCUGAUAGUGAAUACUGUAUACACCACUCUGCUAAUAGUGAAUACUGUUUACACCACUCUGUUAAUAGUGAAUACUGUAUACACCACUCUGUUAAUAGUGAAUACUGUAUACACCACUCUGUUAAUAGUGAAUACUGUAUACACCACUCUGCUAAUAGUGAAUACUGUUUACACCACUCUGUUAAUAGUGAAUACUGUAUACACCACUCUGCUGAUAGUGAAAACUGUAUAGUGAUCAAUCGCUGACAGUCCUGCACAGAUUAUCACUAUAUGCGAAGUGCUCUGUAUUUCAGUUUAUGAAAAAGCACCUAAGUAUCCAUAUAAUGAUAUAACGACUAUAUGAAUUUGAAAUGAAGUAUACUAUACUCUAUUUUUGUGUGUAAAUCGUCACAGUUGUUUGUGGUGGACUACAGUGCUAUAUGAGGUAUUUAUGGAUUCAUAUACUGUAUUUUUAUGUUCUGUGAACGCUCUAAAAGACUCUUGGUUGAGGUCAGUGAUAAAGAUAAAAUAUUGGAUGGAGUUUGAAACAAACACAAGCAUGGAACCAAACAAUUCAACUAACUGUAACAUGGAGUUUAGUUACAUUUGUUAAAUGUUGAAUAAAGUAUAAAUAAAACUAUUAAGAAUAUGUAUUUAUCAGUUUGCCCUAUUUCAUCUAUUCACAACAACUGUGUGUUUGCCUGUUUGCCAUAGAAGGUUUAUAGAACCUCUCCCUAUGGCUGUGACUGGUGAACUAAAGGGUACACUCAAUAUGGCUGACCUGGUAGAGGAUUUCCAUUCUAGAGAUUAUAUUUCUAUGGUUAGCCUGCUUUCUCACAGUACAAGAUUAGUAUGUGACAGGCGAGCCAACUGAGAGAUGACGAGCAGCAGACGAUCGAUAAGAGAUCCUGUUUAGAAGACUUACCACCAUCAUCCAAUACCAUUACAAUAAAUCCUAUCUGUCAUACUGUUGUCAGGAAGAGGAGAAGUUAAGCUCUGAACAGGAGAGAGGGACGGGAAGAUCAGCCCAUUACUAGAC
rnacentral:lncRNA from 1 species